AGUAACACGUGGAUAACCUACCUAUAAGACUGGGAUAACUUCGGGAAACCGGAGCUAAUACCGGAUAAUAUUUUGAACCGCAUGGUUCAAAAGUGAAAGACGGUCUUGCUGUCACUUAUAGAUGGAUCCGCGCUGCAUUAGCUAGUUGGUAAGGUAACGGCUUACCAAGGCAACGAUGCAUAGCCGACCUGAGAGGGUGAUCGGCCACACUGGAACUGAGACACGGUCCAGACUCCUACGGGAGGCAGCAGUAGGGAAUCUUCCGCAAUGGGCGAAAGCCUGACGGAGCAACGCCGCGUGAGUGAUGAAGGUCUUCGGAUCGUAAAACUCUGUUAUUAGGGAAGAACAUAUGUGUAAGUAACUGUGCACAUCUUGACGGUACCUAAUCAGAAAGCCACGGCUAACUACGUGCCAGCAGCCGCGGUAAUACGUAGGUGGCAAGCGUUAUCCGGAAUUAUUGGGCGUAAAGCGCGCGUAGGCGGUUUUUUAAGUCUGAUGUGAAAGCCCACGGCUCAACCGUGGAGGGUCAUUGGAAACUGGAAAACUUGAGUGCAGAAGAGGAAAGUGGAAUUCCAUGUGUAGCGGUGAAAUGCGCAGAGAUAUGGAGGAACACCAGUGGCGAAGGCGACUUUCUGGUCUGUAACUGACGCUGAUGUGCGAAAGCGUG
rnacentral:rRNA from 1 species